rnacentral:rRNA from 1 species
AUUGGACGCUGGCGGCAUGCCUUACACAUGCAAGUCGAACGGCAGCGGGGACUUCGGUCCGCCGGCGAGUGGCGAACGGGUGAGUAAUGUAUCGGAACGUACCAUUCAGUGGGGGAUAACUAUCCGAAAGGAUAGCUAAUACCGCAUAUUCUGUGAGCAGGAAAGCAGGGGAUCGCAAGACCUUGCGCUGAUUGAGCGGCCGAUAUCAGAUUAGCUAGUUGGUGAGGUAACGGCUCACCAAGGCUACGAUCUGUAGCGGGUCUGAGAGGAUGAUCCGCGACACUGGGACUGGGACACGGCCCAGACUCCUACGGGAGGCAGCAGUGGGGAAUUUUGGACAAUGGGCGCAAGCCUGAUCCAGCCAUGCCGCGUGAGUGAAGAAGGCCUUCGGGUUGUAAAGCUCUUUCGGCCGGGAAGAAAUCGCAUCAGCUAAUACCUGGUGUGGAUGACGGUACCGGAAUAAGAAGCACCGGCUAACUACGUGCCAGCAGCAGCCGUAACAC